UUGGUGACUUCUGAUGCUCGUCUACAAUGGA
rnacentral:piRNA from 1 species